GAAGAAUAGAAAGAAGAAAAAAGAAAGAUCGAAUAUGUCGGCUACCAUUUACGGAAAUGCAAGUCUACACCUAUCGUGAUUGUCUCUACUACUUUUCUAUUCCUGCUCCCGAUCUCUCCCAACAAUCUUCCAUUUUUCCAA
rnacentral:ribozyme from 1 species